UCGAAGGUGUGAGGUAGAUCUGAAGGCUUUCCCACAUUCCUUACAUUCAUAGGGUUUCUCUCCAGUAUGAGUCCUACCAUGCACUCGAAGGUGUGAGGUAGAUCUGAAGGCUUUCCCACAUUCCUUACAUUCAUAGGGUUUCUCUCCAGUGUGAGUCCCACCGUGCACUCGAAGCUGUGAGGCAGAUCUGAAGGCUUUCCCACACUGCUUACACUCAUAGGGUUUCUCUCCAGUGUGAAUCCUUUCAUGAUAUCGAAAGGAACUGGAAAGAUUGAAGGCUUUACCACAUUGCUUGCAUUUAUAGCGUUUCUCUCCAGUGUGAGUUUUUUCAUGUGUUUGAAAUGACUUGGCAGAAUAAAAGCCUUUCCCACAUAUCUUACAUUUAUAAGGUCUUUCUCCAGAGUUCAUUCUUAUGUGUGUUUGAAAACUUGUAAGAUAGGAUAAGCCUUCCCCAUAUUGCUUACAUUCAUACGGUUUUUUCCCAGAGUGGGUCCUUUCAUGUCUACGAAGAGAACUGGUAUAUGCAAAUGCUUUUCCACAUUCUUUGCAUUGAUAAGGCUUCUCUCCCAUGUGACUUCUUUCAUGUCUGUGAUAGGAACUAGAACUAUGAAAUGCUUUAUCACAUUUGCUACAUUCAUAGGGCUUCUCCCCAGUGUGAGUUCUUUCAUGUAUUUGAAGGGUAGCAGAAUAAGUAAAGGAUUUACCACAUUGUUUACAUUCAUAUGGUUUCUCUCCAGUGUGAGUUCUUUCAUGGAUAAGAUAUAAACUGAAAGAAUGGAAGGCUUUCCCACAAAAUUUACAUUUAUAAGUUCCAUCCCCACUGUGCAUUACCAUGUGUCUUCGAACGCUUGAAUGGAAAAUAAAGGUUUUUCCACAGACUUUACAAGCAUAGGGUUUCUCUCCAGUGUGAUCCCUUUCUUGUGUUCUAAUGGAGGGGCGAUACCUGAAGGCUUUCUUAUUUUUAGGUUGUUGACACUUAUAUGGCUUUGGUCCAUAUUCCUGAUACUCACAUGCCUUGUGUCCAGUGUCACCUCUGAUGUUCAUAUUAAAAGACGAGUUACCUAUGCCAACUUCUGCACACACAAAGCUGUCACAUGAUUUUACUUCAGGAGAAGCUUUCUUCUCCUGGAAGUUCAGUCUGUCAUCUAGAACCUGGGUAAAAGUUUC
rnacentral:lncRNA from 1 species